rnacentral:rRNA from 1 species
UACAGAGGUCCCGAGCGUUGUUCGGAAUUAUUGGGCGUAAAGGGUGCGUAGGCGGUUCCGCAAGUCCUGUGUGAAAUCUUCGGGCUCAACUCGAAGUCUGCACGGGAAACUGCGGGGCUUGAGUGUGGGAGAGGUGAGUGGAAUUCCCGGUGUAGCGGUGAAAAUGCGUAGAUAUCGGGAGGAACACCUGUGGCGAAAGCGGCUCACUGGACCAUAACUGACGCUGAUGCACGAAAGCUGGGGGAGCAAACAGG